GGUGAACGCUGGCGGCGUGCUUAAGACAUGCAAGUCGAACGCAGUCUUCGGACUGAGUGGCGCACGGGUGAGUAACACGUAACUGACCUACCCCCAAGUCGCGAAUAACCAGCCGAAAGGAUGGCUAAUACGUGAUGUGAUGAUCCGCUGUGGCGGAUCAUUAAAGACUUGAUCGCUUGGGGAUGGGGUUGCGUUCCAUCAGCUAGUUGGUAAGGUAAAGGCUUACCAAGGCAACGACGGAUAGCCGGCCUGAGAGGGUGGCCGGCCACAGGGGCACUGAGGCACGGGUCCCACUCCUACGGGAGGCAGCAGUUAGGAAUCUUCCACAAUGGGCGCAAGCCUGAUGGAGCGACGCCGCGUGAGGGAUGAAGGUUCUCGGAUCGUAAACCUCUGAACCAACGACGAAAGACCCGACAAGGGAGAUGACGGUAGUUGGGUAAUAGCACCGGCUAACUCCGUGCCAGCAGCCGCCGUAAGAC
rnacentral:rRNA from 1 species